UCACCUUCCCCUCAGCGACAACCAACGGGCCCCGCCAUCUUGAGGCGGUACAAUUUAAACGUCGUCGCAUUGAGCGAGUGUCACGAUACAUUUAACAACAUUUAACAAUUAGUUCGCAGCGCGAGCGAGAGGAUAAACAUCGAUGGUCGUCCUCAAGAGGCGGCCGCGAAUGCAGAGCUACAGGGCCAUACCUGGAGUACCCACUUUGGUAUACAGAUCGCUUGACAUCACUGGUGAUAUUGGUAACGAUGGCGAUGGUGAUGUCGGUGAUGGUGGCGGCGAUGCCAGUGAUGGCAGUGAUGACAUCAUGAACCCAGACCAUCACCACGACGGUGAUGGUGAAGAUGAUGGCGAUGAUGGUGAAGAUGAUGAUGAUGAUAGUGAAGAUGAUGAUGGUGAAAGUGACGAUUCUGAACUUGCUGAGAACG